GCGUCUCACUGGUCUCCCGCGGUCGCGGUGCCCCGGGAGCACUCCAGGUCGCCCCUCGAAAGCUCAGGGCAGCGGUGCUGUCGCUCCCGGUUCCCGGCGACCCCACGGGUCACCGCUGGGUGGCGUCUGAGGAGCCGGGCGUCACAAAAUAUGAAGUAAAUUCAAGCAUAUCCUAUGCCUUUUUCCUUCAUUUGCUUUGGAUGUAUGAGAACCACGUAUAACCACAAUUUAUGCUGAAUAAGCAGUUCAGUUGCCACGAUGCCAGUAAAUGUUAAUAGUUGUACCAAUUAUACCCUAUGAUGGAUGAGAAAAACUGAAAAUUUCUUUAAUAUCUUGGCGAGCCCAUUGGAAUCAAUCACACCUGUGAAACUGCAUGGAUGUCACAACAGAGAAAAGGUUGGAAAUCAUGGCUCCAGAAGUAGGCCACACUGGAAAGUUUGUGUGCAUCAUUCCCAUGAACGAGGAGGGAAAGAAGGCAGUGGAAGAGGAGGAGGAACACCAGGAAAAAGGGAAACAAGACAAGAUGUAGAAGGAAUAGGGGAGGAGGUGUUUUAUUAUUUUCCAAAUUUAUUACACAGAGAAUAUGUUACUUUUGUAGUAAGAAGAAUCUUUAAAACUACAAUAUUAUCUUCUGUUUCAAGGAAUACAGAUGGAAAAUAGUUUUGAAAGGUUGUCACUGUUUGGAAUAGGCAAAAAAAUAAAUAUAAAUAUAAAAUUCAAAACCAUAAAAUUUUUAGGUAAAAACAUGAAAAAAACUUCAUGACCUGGACUUAGGCAAAGAGUACAC